CCUACGGGAGGCAGCAGUGAGGAAUAUUGGUCAAUGGCCGAGAGGCUGAACCAGCCAAGUCGCGUGAGGGAAGAAUGUCCUAUGGAUUGUAAACCUCUUUUGUCAGGGAGCAAAGUCACCCACGUGUUGGUGUUGGAGAGUACCUGAAGAAAAAGCAUCGGCUAACUCCGUGCCAGCAGCCGCGGUAAUACGGAGGAUGCGAGCGUUAUCCGGAUUUAUUGGGUUUAAAGGGAGCGUAGAUGGGUUGUUAAGUCAGUUGUGAAAGUUUGCGGCUCAACCGUAAAAUUGCAAUUGAUACUGGCAGUCUUGAGUACAGUUGAGGUAGGCGGAAUUCGUGGUGUAGCGGUGAAAUGCUUAGAUAUCACGAAGAACUCCGAUUGCGAAGGCAGCUUACUAAACUGCCACUGACAUUGAUGCUCGAAAGUGUGGGUAUCAAACAGGAUUAGAUACCCUAGUAGUC
rnacentral:rRNA from 1 species